GACGUAGGGGGCGAGCGUUGUCCGGAUUUAUUGGGCGUAAAGAGCUCGUAGGCGGCUCAGAAAGUCGGGUGUGAAACCUCCAGGCUCAACCUGGAGACGCCACCUGAUACUGCUGUGGCUAGAGUCCGGUAGGGGAGCACGGAAUUCCCGGUGUAGCGGUGAAAUGCUUAGAUAUCGGGAGGAACACCAGUGGCGAAGGCGGUGCUCUGGGCCGGAACUGACGCUGAGGAGCGAAAGCGUGGGGAGCAAACAGG
rnacentral:rRNA from 1 species